rnacentral:rRNA from 1 species
AGAGUUUGAUCCUGGCUCAGAUUGAACGCUGGCGGCAUGCUUUACACAUGCAAGUCGGACGGCAGCGGAGGUGCUUGCACCUGCCGGCGAGUGGCGAACGGGUGAGUAACAUAUUGGAAUGUACCGAGUAGUGGGGAUAACCAAUCGAAAGAUUGGCUAAUACCGCAUACGUCCUAAGGGGGAAAGCAGGGGAUCUUCGGACCUUGCGCUAUUUGAGCAGCCAAUAUCUGAUUAGCUAGUUGGUGGGGUAAAGGCCCACCAAGGCGACGAUCAGUAGCGGGUCUGAGAGGAUGAUCCGCCACACUGGGACUGAGACACGGCCCAGACUCCUACGGGAGGCAGCAGUGGGGAAUUUUGGACAAUGGGGGCAACCCUGAUCCAGCCAUGCCGCGUGUCUGAAGAAGGCCUUCGGGUUGUAAAGGACUUUUGUUAGGGAAGAAAAGAGAAGUGUUAAUACCACUUUUUGCUGACGGUACCUAAAGAAUAAGCACCGGCUAACUACGUG